GCGAGCAUCUGCCAGGAUGUUUUCAUUAAUCAAGAACGAAAGUUAGGGGAUCGAAGACGAUCAGAUACCGUCGUAGUCUUAACCAUAAACGAUGCCGACCAGCGAUUAGGAGACGUUGAAUACAAAACACCACCAUCGGUUGCGGUCGUCCUUGGCGUCUCGGUUUCGGCCGGGGCGCGGGGAUGGCUUAGCCCGGUGGCACCGGUGAAUGACUCCCCU
rnacentral:rRNA from 1 species